rnacentral:rRNA from 1 species
AAUAUUUGACAAUGGGGGCAACCCUGAUCCAGCCAUGCCGCGUGUGUGAAGAAUGUCUUCGGAUUGUAAAGCACUUUAAGUUGGGAGGAAGGGCUUUAGGUUAAUACCCUGAAGUUUUGACGUUACCAACCGAAUAAGCACCGGCUAACUCUGUGCCAGCAGCCGCGGUAAUACAGAGGGUGCAAGAGUUAAUCGGAAUUACGGGGCGUAAAGCGCGCGAGGGUGGUUCAGUAGGAUGGGGUUGAACGCCCCGGGCCUAACCUUGGAACUGCUUUCAUAACUGCUGAGCUAAGGUAAGGUAGAGGGUAGUGGAAUUUCCUGUGAAGCGGUGAAAGGCGUAGAAAUAGGAAGGAACACCAGGGGCGAAGGCGACUACCUGGACUGAUACUGACACUAAGGUGCGAAAGCGUGGGGAGCAAAC